rnacentral:rRNA from 1 species
UACGAAGGUGGCAAGCGUUGUUCGGAUUUACUGGGCGUACAGGGAGCGUAGGCGGUUUGUUAAGUUCAGGGUGAAAGCUCCCGGCUCAACUGGGAGAGGUCCUUGGAUACUGGCAGACUUGAGGAGGGUAGAGGAGAGUGGAAUUCCACGUGUAGCAGUGAAAUGCGUAGAGAUGUGGAGGAACACCGAUGGCGAAGGCAGCCCCCUGGGCCAAUACUGACGCUCAUGCACGAAAGCGUGGGGAGCAAACAGG